UACGUAGGUGACCAGCGUUGUCCGGAUUUACUGGGCGUAAAGAGCGCGUAGGCGGCUCGUUAAGUGUGAAGUGAAAUCUCUAGGGCUCAACCCAGAAACUGCUUUACAUACUGGCGAGCUGGAGUGAUGCAGAGGUUUGUGGAAUUCCUGGUGUAACGGUGAAAUGUGUUGAUAUCGGUGGGAACGCCAGUGGCGAAAGCGGCAGACUGGACCCUUCCUGACGCUGAUGCGCGAAAGCUAGGGGAGCAAACGGG
rnacentral:rRNA from 1 species